GCAUAUGAGGUGGCCAUGACGC
rnacentral:siRNA from 1 species